GUGAGGACGUGGGGCAUGUGAGCGCGCUCACUAAGGUUCUUUAAUUUUAUUUCUCAACGAAAAUAUUUGCACAUUAUUUGGGGUUUGGCCAAAGGAGUAUGUAUUUGGUCAUUUUUAGAGUAAAAUGAUAGCCUGGGAUCCUGGCUGACUGCUCGACAGAAGAGCCAGGCGGAAUACAACCUGGUAUGUCAAUAGGAUAUUAGGAUUAUAU
rnacentral:lncRNA from 1 species